GGGGCUAAUUUCAACUUUAUGAGUGAUACUAGUUCCAUUCCUAAAUGUAUUAUUUUGUGAACACUGCUUUUAUUACUAUUUCAUUCUGUGAGCUGACAGCUACAUAUGUGCAUAAUGUAGCCCGGCCUGGUAGUGUCCAAUGUGGUUAAGGAGAUGAAUGUGUUUCGUGCCGAGAAUUAGAUGGGCCAUCCGUCAUGCCUGCCACCUUGGAUUUGUUCUCGCUCAUAGCCUGUUGAGUAGAGCCGGCGGCGGAAUGUGAGGACUAUAUAAGAAGGGUGAGAUCCAUCAUUUACUCACUUGCCCGGUCUCAUUUCAAGAUCCUCCGGGUUUCUUGCAACUGGCUCUUACUUCCAGGUUCCAGGAUGAAAUUCUUCAUCGCAAUCUUAGUAGUCAUCUUAUCGACGAUCGCUCAGUUGUCGGAAUGCAGAAGCGCAUACGAGGAUUUCAUUAGAGAAGUUGAGGAAUCCCGCCCAGCCAAACGAUGCCUCGGUCACGACGAACCAUGCACCGACUCCUCGCAAUGCUGCCAUCCGUUUCAGUCUCUUUGUAGUCUAGGUGGAGAUGGACGGAGGCAAUGCUAUAUACCAGAGAGGUACAGAAAUUAAUACCUCUAGCUUACUAAGGAGCAUACAUAUAAACAAUGCAUAAGGCUAAAAAGUUUGGUUUCUUAAUUUUUUUUUUCUGUGUGUUUUAAAAUGAUCCCUCAAGUUGUAAAUGCUAACUCAGGUUGUAAUGCCAAUUCAAGUUUUUGUAAUAAAUUUGUUAAGGCAUUGA